AGCACCAGCAAAAUUCAUAGUUGAUGUAGUUAUUUUCUCCAAGAUAGAUCGUAGUUUGGUCUUUUGAUAUGGAUAGCUAAGAGAUAGAUAGUAUGCCAGUCAGAGUAUCGCAACCGAGUAGCUCACGAAGGCGACCCCGAGAUGAAGAACUACAUGUACCACGACGACGACGGAGGAUAUCGAGUAACCGAUUACUAGUGAUCG
rnacentral:lncRNA from 1 species